AGUGUCAGAGCGGCAUUUGUGGUGUGAACUCGCGUUUGAUCCGCUACCGCACACAGUCCUCUGGUCUAUCGAAAACACAUACACUAUGGUUCCUAAAAAGACAAAGUUAUCCCGAGAGGAAUUACUACAGAAAAGGAGAUAAGCAGAGCGACUACGAUACGAAAUAAAAAAAAUACCCUGAAAAGAGAGAAGAAAUGAGAAAAAAGGAGAAGUUGAAGUAGCAAAAGAAGAAAGAAAAAGGGUUGCGAAAAUUAGUAAAGGACAUAACACCUCGUGACCACAGAGCUGCCUUAAAGAAGUGGAAAGAACAUUGUACUGUAUACCGAGCCAAAA
rnacentral:misc_RNA from 1 species